AAUAAAUGAUCCUGUGGGCAUAUUUAAUGAAUUCGUAGCAUCCCAUCACGGUACAUAGCUAGCCGAUUAGAGUAUGGUGUCUGAGUGAUAUGAUCUUGAUGUAACUUGUUAGGAUGGCAUGGUGGUCAUGUUUGGUGCUCAGCUAGUCGGUAGAGGCCCAUGUUGUCAGAGUCGAUAAAAUGAAGCCAUCGAGGUAUCCCAUCGUCGACUAGCAUAGUCGGGCAUGUGUCGACUACUAAGUCGGUUACGGGCUGAGCAUUAUUGGGUGUA
rnacentral:lncRNA from 1 species